CCUACGGGAGGCAGCAGUGGGGAAUCUUGCGCAAUGGGCGGAGGCCUGACGCAGCAACGCCGCGUGCGGGAAGAAGGCCUUAGGGUCGUAAACCGCUUUCAGGGGGGACGAAGCUUCCGGGGUUAAUAGCCUACGGGGUGACGGUACUCCCAAAAGAAGGUCCGGCUAACUACGUGCCAGCAGCCGCGGUAAUACGUAGGGACCGAGCGUUGUCCGGAAUCAUUGGGCGUAAAGAGCGUGUAGGCGGCCUAGUAGGUCUCGUGUGAAAUCCCGUGGCUCAACCACGGACACGCACGGGAAACCCCUAGGCUCGAGUCCGGAAGAGGAGAGCGGAAUUCCUGGUGUAGCGGUGAAAUGCGCAGAUAUCAGGAAGAACACCCGUAGCGAAGGCGGCUCUCUGGGACGGUACUGACGCUGAGACGCGAAAGCGUGGGGAGCAAACAGGAUUAGAUACCCUGGUAGUCCACGCCGUAAACGAUGGAUGCUAGGUGUGGGAGGUGUCGACUCCUCCCGUGCCGAAGCUAACGCAUUAAGCAUCCCGCCUGGGGAGUACGGCCGCAAGGCUAAAACUUAAGGAAUUGACGG
rnacentral:rRNA from 1 species